UUGACAGAAGAGAGUGAGCACACGGCGUGAUGUCCGGCAUAUGUAUGCCGUCGUCGCCGCGUGCUCACUCCUCUUUCUGUCAG
rnacentral:pre_miRNA from 1 species